rnacentral:rRNA from 1 species
GACGAACGCUGGCGGCGUGCUUAACACAUGCAAGUCGAACGGAAAGGCCCUGCUUUUGUGGGGUGCUCGAGUGGCGAAAGGGUGAGUAACACGUGAGUAACCUGCCCUUGACUUUGGGAUAACUUCAGGAAACUGGGGCUAAUACCGGAUAGGAGCUCCUGCUGCAUGGUGGGGGUUGGAAAGUUUCGGCGGUUGGGGAGGGACUCGCGGCUUAUCAGCUUGUUGGUGGGGUAGUGGCUUACCAAGGCUUUGACGGGUAGCCGGCCUGAGAGGGUGACCGGCCACAUUGGGACUGAGAUACGGCCCAGACUCCUACGGGAGGCAGCAGUGGGGAAUAUUGCACAAUGGGCGGAAGCCUGAUGCAGCAACGCCGCGUGCGGGAUGACGGCCUUCGGGUUGUAAACCGCUUUCGCCUGUGACGAAGCGUGAGUGACGGUAAUGGGUAAAGAAGCACCGGCUAACUACGUG